UUUGACACGAGUUUCAACGGCCAAAAAGCAGGGACAUAUUCUACAAUUUCUAUUAUAUUCUCAUUGCUCACCCGGAUUUGGAUACUUGCGCAUGGCGGCUUAUCUCUUCUAGUCUCCUCAAUCUGACUGCAGCCCUCACACCAAUUCUUCUGCAUUUCUGUGUCUGUACGCAUAACUUUUUCCUUUUCUCCUCUCACUCUGCCACUUCGUGUUGUGAUUUUGUGUAUGCAAUGUUAGCUUCAUAAUCUUGUUUUCUACUGACUGGGAAGAAACUGAGUGGUUUCAGAAAGGCAAAAAGGCUUUUCCUCGGAAAAAAAGAUGAGAAACAAUUUGCCUCAAUCGUCUUCCUAUGAAUCUGCUAUGGAAGCACUUUCCUCCUUGAUAACACAGAAAAGACGUGGAGAAAUGGUUUCUGCAAUCCGUAACGAGGAGAAAUUAGAGAGGAUGAGAAAAUAUGUUGAGAUUCUAGACAUAGAAGAAUGUGUAAAGAAACUCAAAAUUAUUCACGUGGCAGGAACUAAGGGGAAGGGUUCCACAUGCACCUUUUGUGAAGCAAUUUUACGGGAAUGUGGUCUUCAAACUGGACUCUUCACUUCCCCUCAUCUCAUUGAUGUGCGAGAAAGAUUUCGCGUAAAUGGAUUGGAGAUAUCAGAGGAUAAAUUUCUGAGGUACUUCUGGGCCUGCUGGACACAAUUAAAGGAAAAUGUUACAGAGCAUCUGCCAAUGCCUGCACUAUUUCAGUUCCUAACACUGUUGGCUUUUAAAAUAUUCAUAGAUGAAGAGGUUGAUGUUGCAAUAAUUGAAGUUGGUCUUGGGGGAACGUACGAUUCAACAAAUGUGAUUGAAGAACCUAUAGUCUGUGGCAUCACUUCGCUCGGGAUGGACCACAUGGAGAUAUUAGGAAACUCGCUUGGGAUGAUUGCUUCACACAAGGCUGGAAUUCUCAAGCCUCAAGUUCCUGCAUUCACAGUACCACAGUUUCCGGAAGCAAUGGAUGUUAUCCAGAAGAAGGCACGUGAGUUGAUGAUCCCAUUAGAGGUAACUGAACCGCUUGACCAUAAAAAGCUGGAUGGAUUGAAGCUUGGCAUGUCUGGUGAUCAUCAGUUGGUUAAUUCUGGUCUUGCUGUCUCCCUUUGUAAAUGUUGGCUUCAGAGGACUGGAAACUGGGAAAGGAUGUUCCUAAAUGGUUUCAAAGGAGCCAAAAUACCAGCUGCAUUUCUUAAAGGUCUUUCAACUGCCAAUCUUUCAGGGAGAGCUCAGAUAGUUUAUGAUUGUUAUACAUCGUCAUUUAAUUCAACAACGCAGUCUGACAACUCAAAUGGAGACUUGGUAUUCUAUUUGGAUGGUGCUCAUAGUCCAGAAAGCAUGGAAGCUUGUGCCAACUGGUUCUCUAGUGUUGUGAAGGGCAAUCACAAGUCGUUAAAUUGUUUUAGGGCUAAAAAUUUGGACAGAGAUUCGGGAAGUGAUGACCCUGUAAAAGUCCUGCAGGAAGCUGAGUCCACAAAGUUAUCAAAGCAGAUUCUCCUAUUCAAUUGCAUGGAAGUGAGAGACCCACAUAUAUUACUUCCACGACUAGUGAAUACAUGUGCUUCCUCAGGUGUUCAUUUUUCAAAAGCCCUUUUCGUCCCUACCAUGUCAACAUAUAGCAAAGUCUCUUCCGGUAAUUCAGUGACUUCAUCUGAUAUUAUAAACAAGGACUUGUCAUGGCAACUCAACCUCCAGAGACUUUGGGAGAAGAUUAUGCAUGGAAAGGGUUCUUGUCACUGGAUCACUUCAUCUGGUAGGAGACGUGCUAAAGCUAUUAAAAAGGUGAUGUUAGAUCAAUUCAUCUGGUCUCCCCACUGGUUGGGGAUGUGGUAUUUCAAACUUUCAAGGAUCUUCCCAUCCGUUGGGGUUUCUUCACAAUUUCUUUUUUUCACUUUUAGUUUGUUUCAUCUCACAUUUAAUUAUCUUUCAUUCAAUUCAUACCUCAAUAAAUUAAUUUUGAAGUUAUCUUUUUCUAGUAUCUUCGGUACUCAAAUCAUUGCGAUUUUGGUAAUAUAUUCUUUAUUUGUUCAAUAAGGUUUGGUCUUUGUGAUGGCAUUCUCUUCUUCGAUCCUUUUUAUGCUCAACUUUGUGGAUUCGCCUUUGCUUUUUAAUACCACAACUCAAAAUAUGCAAGUAUUGAGAUUUGAAUUUCGACUUAAAGAACGAAAGGGAAAGUUGGACACAUGGGAACUGGGUACUCAACGCAUGCUUCAUGGGUUGACAGCUAUUGGUAGAGGUUCAUGGUGACAUUUAUGAUUUGAUGUGUUGAGCUUUGAUUUAUGAAGUAUUGAAAAUAUGAUGAUAGAAUGGUUUGUGGCAAAACAUGGCUUGAUCUUUUUUAUGUACAUUUCAUCAUGCAUAAAUAUGACCUUAAUGGCUCGUUUGGUUCAUGGAAUAAGAGGUGGGAAUGAAAAAUGAUAUUCUAUCAGCAUGUUUGGUACAAGUUUUUAACCUUGGAAAUAAGAUAUUCCACUUCGUUUCCUCUUAGAAGGUUAGGCCCUCGGUUGAAUUUGGGUCAGUGGUGAAAAUUGGAGGUUUUCGGACAAAACAAGAGGAGUUUAGAGCUCAAAUUUUAAGUGUGUUGGCACUUAUCGAAUUUCAUGGAAUAUUCUCGUGUGUCCUUAAACAGAGUGGGCCAAUAAUACCCUUAUCAAUUGUUUUGGGCCUUUGGACCUUUUUCAGUACAUCUCAGAGAGAUUACAUCGAGAUUCAAGUAAUUUUUCAAAAUAGUAUGUGAUCUUCCUAAAUCUUAUACCAAAUCUUCUUAUAGUUUCAAACAAUAAACUAUGUGGAACAAUCCCUAGUUGUUUGUUAGAUCUAAAUUUGUAUUUGUUGGAUCUAUCAUCAAACAAGCUUAGGGGAGCUUGGAACAACGAAUCCAACGCAAUUUGAAUCGUCCAAAUCGGAGCUCAAAUGAAUAAGAUAUAGGCAAAACAAACUUGUACCGGUUGGAUCUAUCCGCAUGUGAAAGAUUUAUUUAUUUAUUAUUAUUAUUAUUUUGCGGAGGUUUGAACAUUUUUU